GUUACAUAUGUUGUAAAUUAGGUUAAAGUGCCUGUCUAGCAAACAGGAGGUCCUGGGUUCAAAUCCCAGUGGUUCCU